rnacentral:rRNA from 1 species
AGACGUAGGGGGCGAGCGUUGCUCGGAAUCACUGGGCUUAAAGGGCGCGUGGCGGUUGUGCAAGUCUGGGGUUGAAGCCCACGGCUCAACCGUGGAAAGGCCCUGGAGACUGCACGACUUGAGUGAGCGAGGGGAGGGCGGAAUUCCCGGUGUAGCGGUGAAAUGCGUAGAUAUCGGGAGGAAGGCCUGUGGCGAAGGCGGCCCUCUGGCGCUUGACUGACGCUGAGGCGCGAAAGCGUGGGGAGCAAACAGGAUUAGAUACCCGAGUAGUCC